GACAGAGGUGCCGAGCGUUAGGCGGAAUCACUGGGCUUAAAGCGUGUGUAGGCGGACUUCUAAGUACCUUGUGAAAUCCCAUGGCUCAACCAUGGAACUGCUUGGUAUACUGGUUGUCUUGAGCCACUUAGGGGCAGUCGGAACAGAUGGUGGAGCGGUGAAAUGCGUAGAUAUCGUAAGGAAGACCAGUGGCGAAGGCGGGUCUCUGGACAGUUCCUGACGCUGAGGCACGAAGGUCAGGGGAGCAAACGGG
rnacentral:rRNA from 1 species